UGGGGAAUAUUGCACAAUGGGGGAAACCCUGAUGCAGCGACGCCGCGUGAGCGAUGAAGGCUUUCGAGUCGUAAAGCUCUGUCCUAUGGGAAGAUAAUGACGGUACCAUAGAAGAAAGCCCCGGCUAAUUACGUGCCAGCAGCCGCGGUAAUACGUAAGGGGCGAGCGUUGUCCGGAAUUAUUGAGCGUAAAGAGUGCGUAGGCGGCAAAUUAAGUCAGAUGUGAAAACUAAGGGCUCAACCCAUAGAUUGCAUCUGAAACUGAUAUGCUUGAGUCAAGGAGAGGAAAGUGGAAUUCCUAGUGUAGCGGUGGAAUGCGUAGAUAUUAGGAGGAAUACCGGUGGCGAAGGCGACUUUCUGGACUUGAACUGACGCUGAGGCACGAAAGCGUGGGGAGCAAACAGG
rnacentral:rRNA from 1 species